rnacentral:rRNA from 1 species
UGGUGGAGCGAUCUGUCUGGUUAAUUCCGUUAACGAACGAGACCUUACUCUGCUAAAUAGACGGGCGAACUGCGGUUCGACCCCGAAGCUUCUUAGAGAGACUGCGGAGCGAUGAGCCCGAGGAGGCAUAAGGCAAUAACA